rnacentral:pre_miRNA from 1 species
GUUGGGGAGAGUCACGACGAGGACCCAUGGGCCAAGGCCAAGGGGAGAUACCAAGGAGAUCUUGGACACCACAUCUUAACCUAGAGCCUUAAGGUUUUGGGUUAAGAUGUGGUGUCCAAUAUCUCCUUGGUGUUUCCCCUCGACCUUGUCCCAUGGGUCCUCGUUGUGACUCUCCCCAAC